UACAGAGGGGGCAAGCGUUGUUCGGAAUUACUGGGCGUAAAGGGCGCGUAGGCGGCCCGCUAAGUCGAACGUGAAAUCCCCGGGCUCAACCCGGGAACUGCGUCCGAUACUGGCAGGCUUGAAUCCGGGAGAGGGAUGCGGAAUUCCAGGUGUAGCGGUGAAAUGCGUAGAUAUCUGGAGGAACACCGGUGGCGAAGGCGGCAUUCUGGACCGAAACUGACGCUGAGGCGCGAAAGCCAGGGGAGCAAACGGG
rnacentral:rRNA from 1 species